rnacentral:rRNA from 1 species
GACGAACGCUGGCGGCGCGCCUAACACAUGCAAGUCGAACGAGCGAGAGAGAGCUUGCUUUCUUGAGCGAGUGGCGAACGGGUGAGUAACGCGUGAGGAACUUGCCUCAAAGAGGGGGACAACAGUUGGAAACGACUGCUAAUACCGCAUAAGCCCACGACCCGGCAUCGGGUUGAGGGAAAAGGAGCAAUCCGCUUUGAGAUGGCCUCGCGUCCGAUUAGCUAGUUGGUGAGGUAACGGCCCACCAAGGCGACGAUCGGUAGCCGGACUGAGAGGUUGAACGGCCACAUUGGGACUGAGACACGGCCCAGACUCCUACGGGAGGCAGCAGUGGGGAAUAUUGCACAAUGGGGGAAACCCUGAUGCAGCGACGCCGCGUGGAGGAAGAAGGUCUUCGGAUUGUAAACUCCUGUUGUUGAGGAAGAUAAUGACGGUACUCAACAAGGAAGUGACGGCUAACUACGUG